rnacentral:rRNA from 1 species
UACGUAGGGGGCAAGCGUUGUCCGGAUUUAUUGGGCGUAAAGAGCGUGUAGGCGGUUUGGUAGGUCCGCUGUGAAAACUCGAGGCUCAACCUCGAGACGCCGGUGGAAACCAUCAGGCUAGAGUCCGGAAGAGGAGAGUGGAAUUCCUGGUGUAGCGGUGAAAUGCGUAGAUAUCAGGAGGAACACCGGUGGUGUAGACGGCUUUCUGGACCGACACUGACGCUGAGACACGAAAGCGUGGGUAGCAAACAGG